UUCAGUGUCUGUACACCACACAGGGUCCACUGCGAUGCCUUGGCUCAGGAUCUAACCUGCCCUUCUUGUCUUCCCCCUAUCAUUCCCACUUGUUUUAUACCAUGUCAAGAGUCAUGGCUUUAGCAUGUCUUUCUCAGCCUUUCCGCCAACCAUUCUAUGGAGGUUAGGGCUUCGGCUCUAUUCUCCUGUUACUGUCUGUACAACUUUAACAGGGCUGACUCUACUGGCUCUUACAGGCUCCCUUCGGUGAAUUCUGAUCACCACCAUGGAAGACUCCUGUCACUUGUCAGCAGACUUGACUUUCAGUAAACAGUUGGUGUCUAUGAAAAUCUAACUGUCUUGUUAAAGAGAGUGAUUUCUGCAUUUGGCAUUUGAAAGACUAUGGAGGAGGCUUGAGUGGCAUUCCCACCAUGUUUCCUGAGCACAGAGGACAGCUUUGCAAAGACACUGCUUGGAAGUGGACUGCGCAGGCUUCUUAGGUUUGAGUAGUCAUAGUUUUAAUGAAUGAUAUCUUUGUUGUGUAGACAGAUUACUGCAGCAGGUUGACAAAGAGUUCUGAUGAGUUCUGAGUGUGUGUGUGUGUGUCAGAGAGAGAGAGAGAGAGAGAGA
rnacentral:lncRNA from 1 species